AGAUGACAAAGAGAGGUUCUCCAACACACCCAGAGAUGUCGAUCAUCAGCAUUUUAGACAGGGUGGGCGAAUUGACAGGAGAAGUCAGGAAAGCACAGCAGAAGCCAAAGAACUCUCCCACUAACAGCCCAGGACUCUGGGAAAUAAUACCUCACAUUGCAACUUGAUCCUAGAGUUUCGGAAAAGCAGACCCCAGGUGGUGAGAAUGGGCAACCUCACCUCCUCUGCAAUGACCCUGAGCACCGGAGACCCCCAAGGCUGCGUACUCAGUCCCCUCCUGUACUCCCUGUUCAUGCAUGAUUGCGUGUCCACACACAGCUCCAACUUCAUCCUUAAGUCUCCUGAGGAGACUCAAGAGGUUUGCCAUGUCUGCAAAAACUCUCACCAACUUCUACAGCUGCACCAUAAAGAGCAUCCUCUCAGGCUGCAUUACUGCCUGGUACGGCAGGUGCUAGCUGCUGAUCGCAAGGCCCUCCAGAGGGUUGUGAAGUCUGCGGAGCGCCAUCUCCCCUCCGUGCAAGGCCUCUACCACACACAAUGCCGUAGGGUAAGCAUGGAACAUCAAAGACUUCAGCCACCCAGGCUAUUGUCUAUUCACACAAGGGUGUGUAACCCCAGGCACACAAGAGUUGCAGAAAGGUGCAGUGACAUUCACUGCUAUAUUAUUGUGCUG
ensembl:lncRNA